rnacentral:rRNA from 1 species
UACAGAGGUCCCAAGCGUUGUUCGGAUUCACUGGGCGUAAAGGGUGCGUAGGCGGUUUGGUAAGUCUGAUGUGAAAUCUAUGGGCUCAACUCAUAGUCUGCAUCGGAAACUGCCGGGCUUGAGUGUGGGAGAGGUGAGUGGAAUUCCCGGUGUAGUGGUGAUAUGCGUAGAUAUCGGGAGGAACACCUGUGGCGAAGGCGGCUUUCUGGGCCCUACCUGACGCUGAGACGCGAAAGCGUGGGGAGCGAACCGG